rnacentral:lncRNA from 1 species
UUCUUGCUCAACGAAGCAUGACGAUCAAGAAUAUGCAAGAAUUUUUGGUGUUUGUGUGGAGAAAAUAAAAAUUCGAAGAGAGAGAAAUUGGAGGGAGUUUUGAAUUUUCAGAUCUGAAAUGGUUCUGUUAUGCAGUUAGGAUUAGGGUUUGAGCUUUUAUAUCCCAUGCUAAUGACAUUGCUAAUCACACUUUCCAUUGGCUAAUCAUGAUUAAUGAGAUUUCAAGCAUCUUGCAAAAAUUCAAAUUGAG